rnacentral:tRNA from 1 species
GGAAAUAUGGCAGAGUGUAUGCAGUUGGCUUGAAACCAAUAGACAAAGAUUUAAAUUAUCUUUUAUUUCUA